AGCAAAGCUUCACAGAGGCAUGUUUGGAGACAGAGAAGCCUACAUCGGAGAAUCCUCACUGAGGAGUGGGCUGACAAGUUGCUGGAGUAGUUCACACCCCCGCAGCCAUCAGAUUCUGAAUCUUAAGGCUUCUCCCUCACCACUACUCCACAGCAUGGAGAUCCCCAGUCCUUUUAGCAAUCUCUGUGCAGCCCCAGGCAUCCCUUCAAGGGCAGGACUGGCAACUGGGAAGAAAGGUACAGCUGAGGAUGAUCUGUGGCGAGGCGGCACCAGCAGGGCUGUUUUGAUUACUCUGUGACGUCACUGUUGGGCAUCAGGCUUUGGAGGAUUCAGCAGCCUGUCUACUGUCAACCUAGAUGAGACAGCAUCGUUCAGUGAGGACAACGCCUGAACACGAGAGCCUGUGCUCUGAUCUGGCUGCUUUCCUGUAUCAGACAACUCAUGAUGUAUCAUUUCUAUACCUCUACCUAAAAGGAAAAUGAGACCCCAUGUCCUACAGAGCUAUGGUACAAAGACGGGUGCAAGUAUUUUGGAUUCACAGAGUUCCCAACAAAAGGCAAAACUUGAAAAAGUGUGGUCGUGUGUCAUAGAAUGAUGAGAACACCUUUUGAGAAAUACAUCAUCAGGAAAUUUUUGUUGUUGUGAAAACAUCCUAGAGUAUAUGUACAUAAACCCGGAUGGCUACUAUAUUCCUAGGUGAUAUUAUCUCAUGGGACCACCACUGUGUAUGCUAUCACUGACUGAAAUGUUAUUGUAUAGCACAUGAGUAUAAUUUCCUGUUGUCCCCUUCUGUGAUCACAGAAGGAAGAUGGUCUCCUCUAAACAAGCUUUCCUGGAACUUAAAGAGGAUCCCUUCACUUCUUAAGCAAGUCCUACCUUCCUGUUACCCUAAACAUAAGGCAGAUGCAGUUUGCAUUGUCAAAUUAUUUAAUACCAAUAUCUCCUGCGUGGAAGGGGAGCUUAGAUGGGGGAGCA
rnacentral:lncRNA from 1 species